CCUACGGGAUGCAGCAGUGAGGAAUAUUGGUCAAUGGGCGCGAGCCUGAACCAGCCAAGUCGCGUGAGGGAGGACGGCCCUACGGGUUGUAAACCUCUUUUGCCGGGGAGCAACGGGCGUCACGUGUGGCGUCACUGAGAGUACCCGGAGAAAAAGCAUCGGCUAACUCCGUGCCAGCAGCCGCGGUAAUACGGAGGAUGCGAGCGUUAUCCGGAUUUAUUGGGUUAAAAGGGUGCGUAGGCGGAUCGUUACGUCAGUGGUCAAAUUGAGGGGCUCAACCCCGGCGAGCCGUUGAGACUGGCUGUCUUGAGAUGUCGAGAGGUAUGCGGAAUGCGCAGUGUAGCGGUGAAAUGCUUAGAUAUUGCGCAGAACUCCGAUUGCGAAGGCAGCAUACCGGCGGCGAUCUGACGCUGAGGCACGAAAGCGUGGGUAUCGAACAGGAUUAGAUACCCGAGUAGUC
rnacentral:rRNA from 1 species